rnacentral:rRNA from 1 species
CCUACGGGGGGCAGCAGUGGGGGAUAUUGCACAAUGGGGGGAACCCUGAUGCAGCGACGCCGCGUGGGGGAAGGAGUGCUUCGGCUUGUAAAGCCCUAUCGGCAGGGAAGAAGCAAGACGGUACCUGACUAAUAAGCCCCGGCUAACUACGUGCCAGCAGCCGCGGUAAUACGUAGGGGGCGAGCGUUAUCCGGAUUUACUGGGUGGAAAGGGUGCGUAGACGGAGAUGCAAGUCAGUGGUGAAAGCCCGGGGCCCAACUCGGGGACUGCGCCUGAAACUACAUAGCUGGAGUGCGGGAGGGGAAGGUGGAAUUCCUGGUGUAGCGGUGAAAUGCGUAGAUAUCAGGAGGAACACCAGCGGCGAAGGCGGCCUUCUGGACCGUGACUGACGUUGAGGCACGAAAGCGUGGGGAGCAAACAGGAUUAGAUACCCUGGUAGUC